GAGAGUUAAACAGUACGUGAAAUUGUUGAAAGGGAAACGAUUGAAGCCAGUCGUACCAGCGGAUAAUCAGCCUUUAGAUGCGAUUUUGUGGAGCGUGAAGAGCUAAUCGCCUUCAUGCCUGUAUAUUCGUGUACUUGGGGUGUACUUAUUCGUGUGGUAAGUUAACAUCAAUUUUGGUUGUCAUAAAAUGAUUGGAGGAAUGUAGCUUCGAUCUCGUAUUGAAGUGUUAUAGCCUUUGGUAGAUGUGAUGAUCGGGAUUGAGGAUUGCAACGGAUACCCUUCGGGCUACCUGUCUGAUCUCUGAUUGUUGCUUUGGUGCUGAAAGCUUGCUUAUGGUUAUCAAAGUCGAUGGUCAAUAGGUUAGAAUGGGUUAAAUUCGUUAAGGAUGUUGACGUAAUGGCUUUAAACGA
rnacentral:rRNA from 1 species